CCUACGGGGGGCUGCAGUGGGGAAUAUUGGACAAUGGGGGGAACCCUGAUCCAGCCAUGCCGCGUGUGUGAAGAAUGCCCUCGGGUUGUAAAGCACUUUCAGUGAGGAAGAACGCCUGGUGGUUAAUACCCAUCAGGAAAGACAUCACUCACAGAAGAAGCACCGGCUAACUCCGUGCCAGCAGCCGCGGUAAUACGGAGGGGGCGAGCGUUAAUCGGAAUUACUGGGCGUAAAGCGCGCGUAGGUGGCUUGAUAAGCCGGUUGUGAAAGCCCCGGGCUCAACCUGGGAACGGCAUCCGGAACUGUCAAGCUAGAGUGCAGGAGAGGAAGGUAGAAUUCCCGGUGUAGCGGUGAAAUGCGUAGAGAUCGGGAGGAAUACCAGUGGCGAAGGCAGCCUUCUGGACUGACACUGACACUGAGGUGCGAAAGCGUGGGUAGCAAACAGGAUUAGAUACCCUAGUAGUC
rnacentral:rRNA from 1 species